rnacentral:rRNA from 1 species
CAACAGGGAUUGCCCUAGUAACGGCGAGUGAAGCGGCAACAGCUCAAAUUUGAAAUCUGGCCUCCCUCUGGGGGGUCCGAGUUGUAAUUUGCAGAGGGUGCUUUGGCAUGGGCGGCGGUCUAAGUUCCUUGGAACAGGACAUCGCAGAGGGUGAGAAUCCCGUAUGUGGGCGCCUGCCUUUGCCGUGUAAAGCCCCUUCGACGAGUCGAGUUGUUUGGGAAUGCAGCUCUAAAUGGGAGGUAAAUUUCUUCUAAAGCUAAAUACCGGCCAGAGACCGAUAGCGCACAAGUAGAGUGAUCGAAAGAUGAAAAGUACUUUGGAAAGAGAGUCAAAUAGCACGUGAAAUUGUUGAAAGGGAAGCGCUUGCAGCCAGACGUGCCCGCAGUUGCUCACCCCGGCUCUUGCCUGGGGCACUCUUCCGCGCGCAGGCCAGCAUCAGUUUGGGCGGUCGGAUAAAGGCCUCUGUCAAGUACCUUCCCCCGGGAAGGCCUUAUAGGGGAGGCGUAAUGCGACCAGCCCGGACUGAGGUCCGCGCAUCUGCUAGGAUGCUGGCGUAAUGGCUGUAAGCGGCCCGUCUUGAAACACGGACCAAGGAGUCUAACAUCUAUGCGAGUGUUUGGGUGUCAAGCCCGGGCGCGCAAUGAAAGUGAACGGAGGUGGGAUCCCCUUCCGGGGUGCACCAUCGACCGAUCCUGAUGUCUUCGGAUGGAUUUGAGUAAGAGCAUAGCUGUUGGGACCCGAAAGAUGGUGAACUAUGCUUGAAUAGGGUGAAGCCAGAGGAAACUCUGGUGGAGGCUCGCAGCGGUUCUGACGUGCAAAUCGAUCGUCAAAUUUGGGCAUAGGGGCGAAAGACUAAUCGAACCAUCUAGUAGCUGGUUCCUGCCGAA